UACGUAGGGUCCAAGCGUUAAUCGGAAUUACUGGGCGUAAAGUGUGCGCAGGCGGUUCUGAAAGUCAGCUGUGAAAGCCCCGGGCUUAACCUGGGAAUUGCGGUUGAAACUACAGGGCUAGAAUCUGGCAGAGGGGGGUGGAAUUCCACGUGUAGCAGUGAAAUGCGUAGAGAUGUGGAGGAACACCGAUGGCGAAGGCAGCCCCCUGGGCUGAGAUUGACGCUCAGGCACGAAAGCGUGGGGAGCAAACAGG
rnacentral:rRNA from 1 species